ACAUUAUUUAGAAGAGGAGUUUUAUGGUUCCGAUGAUGGUUUUAGAGCAAAUGAAAAUAUUACAUCAACCGCCCCUUUAUAUAAUCAUCAAUCUUUCAAGGACAAGACACCUAGGGCAAAAUGGUCGAAACAAGAUACUGAACUGUUCUAUGAGGCUGUUAGUUGUUGCAAUGAUUUUUCGAUGAUACAACUGCUUUUCCCUGGUAAAACUCGUCGUCAAAUUAUGUUGAAGUACAAGAAAGAAGAGCGGCAACAUCCUUUACAGUGGUUAUACGAUGCUUUGAACAAUCAUGCAGCAGUACCUUUUUAUAAAUCGGUGAUGGAGAAACAGAAACAAACUUCUAAUAAGGCAGAACAAGAUACCGCUAGAGAUGCCUCCAAAUUUCAUGCCAGGGGAGGUGGUUGAAGACCCGACACAUGGAACUAAUGAAAAGGUUGCAACAGCUGAGCAGGACCACAUAGAAGUUGUUGAAGAUCGGGAAGAUCCCAUGGAAAAUCAAAUUCCGGAGCAAUCUGAUGAUAGUGAUGAUGAGUUACAAAGAUGGUCUCAGUAUCGAAGUGCUAUUUAGUAAUACGAAAGAUAGCCGACAAUUUUGAUCUCAUUUUUUAAAUUAAAGUUUAUGCAAUAUUUUAGUUUUUCACCAUUUGAUUUGUGAAAUCACUUGAAUUGCCAAAUUCUAAUUUCAUACUAGGAUUAAAGUUUUACUGGCUGGAAUUAAUCAAUCUCUAUUGGCAAGCGGGUUUCAAAAAGAUGUUAUUUUUUCAGACUCUUUGCAUUUGGUGCAGUUGGUGCUGAUAGAUUUUAUCAACCUUUUACUGCCUAUUUGUGACCUUUUGGCGAGAUAUUGAAAUGUUUUCUUGCUAAGGAAACAAAUGUACAAUAUUCUACUUAGGCCGAGAAUAAAUGGUGUUGAACUUAUAAUCGUCUUUGUUUAUGAACCACCG